UAAGUAAAGGGCUUCGAGCUCAACAGUAAGUACCCGGUAAGUGUUAUUGUGGUUGCAGUGAAGGGCUGAGCCAGGGGUUCUAGAAACCCUCCAGCUCAGCACCUGCCCUCCAGCCCGAGCUGUGUGUGUGUGUGUGUGUGUGUGUGUGUGUGUGUGUGCAUAUCUAUCUGUGUGUGUAUCUGUGCAUGUGUGUCUGUAUCUGCGUGUGUCUGUGUGUGUGUGUGGGUGCGCACGCGUGUGGGGCGGCUGCUGGAGUCUGUGCAGUGCUGCUGGGAGUGGCCUAGGAGGUGGCUCCGCCAGACCAAACAACCCCAGUGCUUCAAGCUCCAGGCUUUUCUCUGACUCUGUUUGCUUUCUUUCUCUCCUUUCCGGUUCCCCUUUAACUGGUUCCUGCUUCCAGUGAGCAGAGCCGGAGGGAGGCCCUGGCAGGGACUGUGACGCCACCGAGGGACCAGAAGGACUAUUUGGGAGCAUUUGAGGGGCAAGGGACCCUGAGGCCAGCCAUGCCCAGGCCUCAGGCCUCCAGGGUUCCAUUCAGCCAGCAAGCUCCAGCUUUCCUUUGCCUGAAGUCGAUAUCAUCACCGGUAGACCUGUGUGUGACUCUACCAGGAAAGGACCUUGCUGCCCCUCCACGUUCUGCCUCUAGCAAACCCAGGAAAGGGAAAUCAAGGUGAAAUCUAAGGAAGGGGGGCGCCCAGGGCAUCACUGUGGCUGGGUUUAACUCGAAUCCUCUGCCUUCAUUGGAACCCACCGUUUAGCACAACAAGGGUUACAUACGUAAGUGGACCCUGGUCGUAUGAAAAGUUCCAUCUGCUAAA